rnacentral:rRNA from 1 species
UACGGAGGGGGCUAGCGUUGUUCGGAAUUACUGGGCGUAAAGCGCACGUAGGCGGCUUUGCAAGUUAGAGGUGAAAGCCCGGGGCUCAACUCCGGAAUUGCCUUUAAAACUGCAUCGCUAGAAUUGUGGAGAGGUAAGUGGAAUUCCGAGUGUAGAGGUGAAAUUCGUAGAUAUUCGGAAGAACACCAGUGGCGAAGGCGGCUCACUGGCCCGUUACCGACGCUGAGGCACGAAAGCUGGGGGAGCGAACAGG